UACGGGGGGAGCAAGCGUUGUUCGGAUUUACUGGGCGUAAAGGCGCGUAGGCGGUCAGCACAAGUCAGUUGUGAAAUCUCCGGGCUUAACUCGGAAAGGUCAACUGAUACUGUGCGACUAGAGUGCAGAAGGGGCAACUGGAAUUCUCGGUGUAGCGGUGAAAUGCGUAGAUAUCGAGAGGAACACCUGCGGCGAAGGCGGGUUGCUGGGCUGACACUGACGCUGAUGCGCGAAAGCCAGGGAGCGAACGGG
rnacentral:rRNA from 1 species